GACAGAGGGUGCAAACGUUGUUCGGAAUUACUGGGCGUAAAGCGCGUGUAGGUGGCAAGGCAAGUCGGGUGUGAAAGCCCUGGGCUCAACCCAGGAAGUGCACUCGAUACUGCCUCGCUAGAGUCCCGGAGAGGUUGGUGGAACUCGUCGGUGUAGAGGUGAAAUUCGUAGAUAUCGAGAAGAACACCGGUGGCGAAGGCGGCCAACUGGACGGUGACUGACACUGAGACGCGAAAGCGUGGGGAG
rnacentral:rRNA from 1 species